rnacentral:rRNA from 1 species
UAAAUAACAAUGCAGAGCCCUUUGGGUUUUGCAAUUGGAAUGAGAACAAUUUAAAUCCCUUAUCGAGUAACAAUUGGAGGGCAAGUCUGGUGCCAGCAGCCGCGGUAAUUCCAGCUCCAAUAGCGUAUAUUAAAGUUGUUGCAGUUAAAAAGCUCGUAGUUGAACUUUUGGUGAGGCCUGCGUGGUCUAGAAUUUCUAGACUGCCAGUGUCGAGCCUGUUUGGGGAUGCGUCACUUGUGGCGAGGAACCCGGGUUACUGUGAAGAAAUUAGAGUGUUUAAAGCAGGCGAUCGCUUGAAUACAUCAGCAUGGAAUAACAAGAUAGGACUUGGUUCUACUUGUUGGUUUGGGAAUCAAAGUAAUGAUUAAUAGGGCCAGUCGGGGCAUUAGUAUUCAGCAGUCAGAGGUGAAAUUCUUGGAUUUGCUGAAGACUAACUAGUGCGAAAGCAUUUGCCAAGGAUGUUUUCAUUAAUCAAGAACGAAAGUUAGGGAUCGAAGACGAUCAGAUACCGUCGUAGUCUUAACUAUAAACGAUGCCGACUCGGGAUCGGCAGGCUUCGUUCGCGAACCUGUCGGCACCGUGUGAGAAAUCAAAGUUUUUGGGUUCUGGGGGAGUAUGGUCGCAAGGCUGAAACUUAAAGGAAUUGACGGAAGGGCACCACCAGGAGUGGAGCCUGCGGCUUAAUUUGACUCAACACGGGAAAACUCACCAGGUCCGGACAUAGUAAGGAUUGACAGAUUGAGAGCUCUUUCUUGAUUCUGUGGGUGGUGGUGCAUGGCCGUUCUUAGUUGGUGGAGUGAUUUGUCUGGUUAAUUCCGAUAACGAACGAGACCUUAACCUGCUAACUAGUGCGCAUUACGCGAGUAGUGCGUGACUUCUUAGAGGGACUGACUAUGUUUAAUAGUCGGAAGUUUGAGGCAAUAACAGGUCUGUGAUGCCCUUAGAUGUUCUGGCUGCACGCGCGCUACACUGACAAAGGCAGCGAGUAUACCUUGGCCGAGAGGUCUGGGAAAUCUUGUUAAACUUUGUCGUGCUGGGAUAGAUCAUUGCAAUUAUUGGUCUUGAACGAGGAAUUCCUAGUAAGCGCAAGUCAUCAGCUUGCGUUGAUUACGUCCCUGCCCUUUGUACACACCGCCCGUCGCUACUACCGAUUGAAUGGCUUAGUGAGGC